rnacentral:lncRNA from 1 species
GGUGCAUCCUACUUCAAACAGUGAACCUGAACCUAUAAUAGCCAACAUAUAUAGAAAGGAUCCAAAUGGCUAGAGACCAAGGGAAUAUAUAGUCAAACUAAGUAGCCUUGCUAUGAAUAGCCAACACACCAUAAGUCAAAGGACCAGUCACACUACUGCAACAUCGAGAAAAUUACUUGGAUGUCACUCGCUCGUCAGUAAUUUUCUAACAACCACCUGUACUCUCACCCCAGUGUCUCUACACUAUAGACUCAAGACUCAUCUAUCCUAAAGAGAGGUGAUCUGUGCACCGAUCUUG